GAAGAACGCUGGCGGCGUGCUUAACACAUGAGAGUCGAAGGAGGGGCGAACGGGUGAGUAAUCCGGGGGUAACCUGCCCUCUGUUUGGAAUAAGCCUUGGAAACGGGGUAUAAUACCGAAUAAAGGGGGAUGGGCGCGCGGCCUAGCAGCUGGUUGGUGGGGUGAUGGCCUACCAAGGCGGUGACGGGUAGGCGGCCUAAGAGCGUGACCGGCAACGUUGGAACUGACAUACUGCCCAGACUCGUACGUGAGGGGGCAGUUGGGCAUUUUGCGCAAUGCGCGAAAGGCUGAUGCAGGUGUGUCGCGUGGGGGAUGAAGGCUUUCGGGUUGUAAAGCGGUUUCGCUGUCGAACCGGUAGCUGGAGAAGAAGCACCGGCUAACUCCGUGCCAGCAGCCGCGGUAAUAC
rnacentral:rRNA from 1 species